AAUGUGUAUUGAAAAUUAUAUACAACUUUAGACAAUGGAUCUCUUGGCUCACGCAUCGAUGAAGAACGUAGCGAAUUGCGAUAAUUAUUGUGAAUUGCAGAUUUAGUGAAUCAUCGAGUCUUUGAACGCACAUUGCACCCUCUGGUAUUCCGGAGGGUAUGCUUGUUUGAGAACCGUUACAUCUCUCACGAACUGGACCUGAUUUCGGUCAGGAAAAGCAAGUGGAUUUGGCCAUUCCCUGAAAAAUCCUUUAUUGGAAUGAAUGGGUUGUGCUGAAAUUCAGUGAUCGGAGCUUGCGUGCUUAAAGGGUUUUCUCUCUAACAGUACCGUACUCUUUGAUAACCGACAUAGAUUAAUUGGGUACUUGUACCUUUUCUCAGUGUCCGGAAAAUCGAGUCGCGAAAACUGAAAGAAUUCAUUCCAAACCUUUUCGCUAUGCCUAUAAGGUAACCGCGAGUAUACGGCUCAUACCUAAACAUGCCAGGCGAUCUAUACACCGAUUCUUUUGUCCCCGUACUUGCUUGCGAGUGGUUGGACAGUUACUAUCGACGCAAUAGGUU
rnacentral:rRNA from 1 species